CGGACGGGUGAGUAACACGUGAGCAACCUGCCUUUCAGAGGGGGACAACAGUUGGAAACGACUGCUAAUACCGCAUAAAAUAACGGAACCGCAUGAUUCUGUUAUUAAAGGAGAAAUCCGCUGAAAGAUGGGCUCGCGUCUGAUUAGAUAGUUGGUGAGGUAACGGCCCACCAAGUCGACGAUCAGUAGCCGGACUGAGAGGUUGAACGGCCACAUUGGGACUGAGACACGGCCCAGACUCCUACGGGAGGCAGCAG
rnacentral:rRNA from 1 species